AAGAAAUCGAUCUUUGACGAACAAACAUCGAAGGCCCUCAAGAAGUGGCACAUGGCUGUUAAGAAGCGACAUGGAAAGUCCCCCACUCGAAAGCUAGGGAGUCCAAAUGCGUCGCCAAUGCAUUCAUCAUCUGGAUACACAUUGCAUCGUUUCAAGACCACAGGUCACUCAAACAGAUCAUCCAUGUAUGACGAAAAUGAUGCAUCUGAUUAUGAAGUUGAUCCGUUG
rnacentral:misc_RNA from 1 species